rnacentral:rRNA from 1 species
UACGUGAGGUGGCAAGCGUUGUCCGGAAUUAUUGGGCGUAAAGCGCGCGCAGGCGGCCUUUUAAGUCUGAUGUGAAAGCCCACGGCUCAACCGUGGAAGGUCAUUGGAAACUGAAAGGCUUGAGUACAGAAGAGGAAAGCGGAAUUCCACGUGUAGCGGUGAAAUGCGUAGAGAUGUGGAGGAACACCAGUGGCGAAGGCGGCUUUCUGGUCUGUAACUGACGCUGAGGCGCGAAAGCGUGGGGAGCAAACAGG